CAGUCGCCGCGGUAAAACAGAGGGUGCAAGCGUUAAUCGGAAUUACUGGGCGUAAAGCGCGCGUAGGUGGUUUGUUAAGUUGGAUGUGAAAUCCCCGGGCUCAACCUGGGAACUGCAUUCAAAACUGACUGACUAGAGUAUGGUAGAGGGUGGUGGAAUUUCCUGUGUAGCGGUGAAAUGCGUAGAUAUAGGAAGGAACACCAGUGGCGAAGGCGACCACCUGGACUAAUACUGACACUGAGGUGCGAAAGCGUGGGGAGCAAACAGGAUUAGAUACCCCGGUAGUCCCUGUCUCUUAUAC
rnacentral:rRNA from 1 species